rnacentral:tRNA from 1 species
GGGCCCGUCGUCUAGCCAGGAUAGGACGCUGGCCUGCGGAGCCGGAGGUCGCGGGUUCAAGUCCCGCCGGGCCCA